UGGGGUUAAAAUUUCGUGGUUUUGUAUCCAAAAGUAAGUUCGUGGGGAUUAAUUUUCGUGGUUUUUAAGUUUAGAAAAAAAUUAUACAAAUGUCACUUUAUAAUUGACAAUACUCAAUAAAACUGAUGUGAACUUUUGCCGUUGGGGAAAAUCAAUAAUUGCAUUUCAUAGUAACAGUGAGCACUAAUCAAGUGUUGUAACCUGCACACGCUAAUUGGCUGUUACACACCUUUGAUGUUUUAUUCAAGG
rnacentral:lncRNA from 1 species